UAUUUGAUGGCUUUUGAAAGUUCAACAAACAUUCGUUAUCAACUUUACCCGGACUCAUGAACAUUUCUGGAAACUCGAGGUCAAAUAUUUGUGAUGUAGAAUGAUGAUAAAACUAUAUACCUUCAUAUAAGUAGCAAACGAUGGAUAAUUAAUUAAUGAAAUUUAUAGAUUCUGAAGAAGAAUAGUCCAAUCAAAGAUGCCACUCCGGGAGAUUCAUCGCAAGAUCUUUGGAUAUUUACGUUAAGUUAGGCAUUAAAAAUGUCGAAAUUUUUGGAUUCUAUACAUCAUCAAGAGUUUACUACUCGUUGAUUUGUUUCCAACUCGUUCUCGUUUCGUCUUAUUUUAACUGCA
rnacentral:lncRNA from 1 species